AAAAAAAAUCUCAAAUUUUUUUUUGUAACGAAAUUCUGUAUUGUUCUAAUUUGGUUGGAAAUUAUUUCAUCAUCAUCGAUGUCAUUGUCGCCGUCAUAGCCAUCUUGUUAUUGUUGUUGUUGUUGUUUGCAAAAGAAUUAUCAUUUCAUCAGAAUUUUUUCAAGAUUUUUUUUUAACUUACUCACACGCA